AUGAACGCUGGCGGCGUGCCUAAUACAUGCAGGUCGAGCGAACGGACGAGAAGCUUGCUUCUCUGAUGUUAGCGGCGGACGGGUGAGUAACACGUGGAUAACCUACCUAUAAGACUGGGAUAACUUCGGGAAACCGGAGCUAAUACCGGAUAAUAUUUUGAACCGCAUGGUUCAAAAGUGAAGGACGGUCUUGCUGUCACUUAUAGAUGGAUCCGCGCUGCAUUAGCUAGUUGGUAAGGUAACGGCUUACCAAGGCAACGAUGCAUAGCCGACCUGAGAGGGUGAUCGGCCACACUGGAACUGAGACACGGUCCAGACUCCUACGGGAGGCAGCAGUAGGGAAUCUUCCGCAAUGGGCGAAAGCCUGACGGAGCAACGCCGCGUGAGUGAUGAAGGUCUUCGGAUCGUAAAACUCUGUUAUUAGGGAAGAACAUAUGUGUAAGUAACUGUGCACAUCUUGACGGUACCUAAUCAGAAAGCCACGGCUAACUACGUG
rnacentral:rRNA from 1 species